AGAGUUUGAUCCUGGCUCAGGAUGAACGCUAGCGGGAGGCUUAACACAUGCAAGUCGAGGGGUAACAGGGAGAAACUUCGGUUUUUCUGCUGACGACCGGCGCACGGGUGAGUAACGCGUAUGCAACCUGCCUUUUACAGAGGGAUAGCUUUCGGAAACGGAAAUUAAUACCUCAUAACACUGCGAGGUGGCAUCACCAAGCAAUUAAAACUCCGGGGGUUUGAGAUGGGCAUGCGUGACAUUAGCUAGUUGGUAAGGUAAUGGCUUACCAAGGCUACGAUGUCUAGGGGUUCUGAGAGGAUGAUCCCCCACACUGGUACUGAGACACGGACCAGACUCCUACGGGAGGCAGCAGUGAGGAAUAUUGGUCAAUGGGCGCAAGCCUGAACCAGCCAUCCCGCGUGUAGGAAGACUGCCCUAUGGGUUGUAAACUACUUUUAUAAAGGAAGAAACCCUUCUACGUGUAGAAGGCUGACUGUACUUUACGAAUAAGCACCGGCUAACUCCGUGCCAGCAGCCGCGGUAAUACGGAGGAUGCAAGCGUUAUCCGGAUUUAUUAGGUUUAAAGGGUGCGUAGGCGGGAAUGUAAGUCAGGGGUGAAAUCCUAGAGCUUAACUGUAGAACUGCCUUUGAAACUACAUACCUUGAGUUAAGUUGAGGCAGGCGGAAUGUGUAAUGUAGCGGUGAAAUGCAUAGAUAUUACACAGAACACCAAUUGCGAAGGCAGCUUGCUAAACUUCAACUGACGCUGAUUCACGAAAGCGUGGGGAGCGAACAGGAUUAGAUACCCUGGUAGUCCACGCCGUAAACGAUGCUCACUGGUUGUUGGCGCUAUAUUGUCAGCGACUGAGGGAAACCAUUAAGUGAGCCACCUGGGGAGUACGUCGGCAACGAUGAAACUCAAAGGAAUUGACGGGGGCCCGCACAAGCGGUGGAACAUGUGGUUUAAUUCGAUGAUACGCGAGGAACCUUACCUGGGCUUAAAUGUAGAGUGCAUAAACGGGAAACUGUUUUUUCCUUCGGGACUCUUUACAAGGUGCUGCAUGGUUGUCGUCAGCUCGUGCCGUGAGGUGUCGGGUUAAGUCCCAUAACGAGCGCAACCCCUAUCGUUAGUUGCCAGCGAGUCAAGUCGGGGACUCUAACGAGACUGCCGGUGUAAACCGCGAGGAAGGUGGGGAUGACGUCAAAUCAGCACGGCCCUUACGUCCAGGGCUACACACGUGUUACAAUGGCCGAUACAAAGGGCAGCUACCAGGUGACUGGAUGCUAAUCUCGAAAGUCGGUCUUAGUUCGGAUCGAAGUCUGCAACUCGACUUCGUGAAGCUGGAUUCGCUAGUAAUCGUAGAUCAGCAAUGCUACGGUGAAUACGUUCCCGGGCCUUGUACACACCGCCCGUCAAGCCAUGGAAGCUGGGGGUACCUGAAGUCUGUCACCGCAAGGAGCGGCCUAGGGUAAAACUGGUAACUAGGGCUAAGUCGUAACAAGGUA
rnacentral:rRNA from 1 species